GAUGAACGCUAGCGGCAGGCUUAAUACAUGCAAGUCGUGGGGCAGCAGGUUUGUAGCAAAUACAGAUGCUGGCGACCGGCAAACGGGUGCGGAACACGUACAGAACCUUCCUUUGAGCGGGGAAUAGCCCAGAGAAAUUUGGAUUAAUACCCCAUAGUAUAAUGAAGUGGCAUCACUUUAUUAUUAAGAUUUAUCACUCGAAGAUGGCUGUGCGGCUGAUUAGGUAGUUGGCGGGGUAAAGGCCCACCAAGCCUGCGAUCAGUGACUGGUGUGAGAGCACGACCAGUCACACGGGCACUGAGACACGGGCCCGACUCCUACGGGAGGCAGCAGUAAGGAAUAUGGUCAAUGGGAGGCAACUCUGAACCAGCCAUGCCGCGUGGAGGAUGAAGGUCCUCUGGAUUGUAAACUUCUUUAUAUGGGAC
rnacentral:rRNA from 1 species